CAGACAUGGUUAUGUUGACCAGUCCGAGGAGCAUGUUAAGUGUGCUUUCAUUGCUGGCACCGCUAACCUUAUCACACCACACUUGAACUGAGCAACGUAAAGAUAAAAAAAAAAUCAAUUCAAAUCACACAAAUUAAGAAUUAUACCAAUGCAUAAAAGGGAUCAUAUCUAUUUAACCAUAAGGAAAAUGAGGCUAGCUGUGAAUUCACAAACUUUUCGACAUGAAUGACAUUACAAAUGAAAAAAAAAGAAAAAAAAUAGCACUACUUGGCAACAUUACGUUGAGUCUGAGAAUAUGGACGAUACAAAAAGAAUCAUGUCGCAUGAGAUUUGAGCCCCACUGUACACUACUACUUAUUAUUGCAGAAAUAAGCUCAGGCAUAUUCAAGUGAAAAUAGAAGAUUCCUAAGACAGAAGUGCAACUCCGCAAGCAAAGUGAUUAGCGCCAUCUUGAAAUAAGGCGCCAAGCGAACAAGAAGAAUAGUGAUGCUGCCACUGGGUAUGGAACGGUGGAUGGCAACACUGAUGACACCCUCGCGCUGCCGACAGUCUGUAAAAGAUAUCCUGCUCCAACUUACUGGAAACCUAAGCAUCUUUCAGUCAGAAUCGUCAUUUAUUUUCUCGCAGUGCAGGAGUUCGCAAUGUCAAACCCAUUAUCAAAAGAGGCGCGUUGUGUGAUCCAGGAAUACAGGGGAUGAGAGAGAAUUCUACAGUUUAGGAGUAACUAUACGAAGGUCUGAUGAACCCGGUUGACCCUCAGUUUGCAGUGUAGAGGAAGCGAAAGGAGGGCGGAUGUGGCCUCAAUAUGCACUCUUUCAAGAAAC